rnacentral:lncRNA from 10 species
CCUAUCAUCUGGAACAGGAAAGGAGACAUACCUUCAUUGAAUGAGUGAUGAAAAAUACUGUUGGGCAAGUUAGUUGGAGUUGUCGAUUGGGAUUAUGUUCCACAGCCCUUCUGUCAAGUGAAAGGCCUUCUUUUCAUGAUCACCUUUACCUGGAAGAGGAGAAUUGACACUUCUGUGUGGAGAGCAGGGAACUAUUGAUUGUCAGGCUUUUUGAAGGUAGAAUGGGAAGUUUGCCUAUAUUGGGUAUACACAGCCCAGCUAUCGUCACAUUCAUUCAAAUGGCAAAGUAAAAACUUUUUGGUGGUACCAGUAUGUACACUAAAAACCUUGGUUCUCCCCUGGGAGAUUAUUCAAUUUCUAUAAAGGGCCUGUUGUUGUUGUUGUUGUUGUUUUUCUGUAUAAUUAAGAGCAAAGACCACUGCUGCUUCUCAGCCACCCCCUAACCCCUGUGUGUGUGUGUGUGUGUGUGUGUGUGUGUGUGUGUGUU